rnacentral:lncRNA from 1 species
ACCUCAUCCAGCAGAGCCUGUCGUAUGUGCAGGGGCGGCAUGGCCCAGGCUAAUGGGGUUGAAGUACCCUGUGUCAUUUGGGAAGUCUGCAGGUUAACGAUCCGCCUGCCUGUCUGGGACCUGCCUGCAGAUUUCAGCCACUUCUGGAUACACCUGGGACAGGGCUGAUACCUCCACUGUCUUACACUGUGAAGAGCGGGACAAACCGAUGAGUGACAGACUACUGAAUCAAUCCCCUUUUAAGCUGCUUAAGUUCCAGAUUUAGUUUUAAAGAGAAAAAAAAUUGUCAUCUUUUUAAAAAAACUGCAUCUUCUUUCUCCUAAUAGCUAAUAUUUAUUGAGCAUUCAUGACACGUAUACACUAUUUUAAACUGCCACUGUGGGUUGAUGUCACUCCCCCAUUUUAUAAACAUGGAGACUUUGGUAACUUUCUAACAGUACUUGGCCAGUCAGCCAGGCCUGUGCUCUUCAGAGGCGCAAUGGGGUCUUUAUACUACACACUAAUGCUGUUUGCAUGACCAUCCCUAUCACUUUGUUUUUAAUUUAAGACAAACAUGUAAUUUCCUAUAAUUGAAAUAUAUAUGUGAACUAAAUGCAAUUCCUUUUAGGUCAUACAUUUAAAAUUAUGUUAUAAUGAAAAGUAUUUCCUUUAUAAUAUAGAGGUGGGUCCACAUUAAUGAGAACAUAAUAUAUGGAUUAUAGGCCGACUACUCAUUUAAAAAGAGUGUUUUGCUUUCAAAAGG